GACGAACGCUGGCGGCGUGCUUAACACAUGCAAGUCGAACGGAAAGGCCCUGCUUUUGUGGGGUGCUCGAGUGGCGAACGGGUGAGUACCACGUGAGUAACCUGCCCUUGACUUUGGGAUAACUUCAGGAAACUGGGGCUAAUACCGGAUAGGAGCUCCUGCUGCAUGGUGGGGGUUGGAAAGUUUCGGCGGUUGGGGAUGGACUCGCGGCCUAUCAGCUUGUUGGUGGGGUAGUGGCUUACCAAGGCUUUGACGGGUAGCCGGCCUGAGAGGGUGACCGGCCACAUUGGGACUGAGAUACGGCCCAGACUCCUACGGGAGGCAGCAGUGGGGAAUAUUGCACAAUGGGCGGAAGCCUGAUGCAGCAACGCCGCGUGCGGGAUGACGGCCUUCGGGUUGUAAACCGCUUUCGCCUGUGACGAAGCGUGAGUGACGGUAAUGGGUAAAGAAGCACCGGCUAACUACGUG
rnacentral:rRNA from 1 species